GGGCUCAGGUGAAAUUGUGGGCGGGGCUCAGGUGAAAUUGUGGGAGGGGUAAAGUGGUCGUGGAGAAAAACGCAAAAAAGUGAAAAGGUUGGAUCGAAUUCCGGAAGAUUACACAACGUGUCCAGGUGUGACUAUGGGGCUCUGUGAUGGCUUGUCCCACUGUAAACUGGCCCUGGCCUUUGCAGUGCUGAUGGACUUGCUGGGUGGCACCGCCUUGCUGGUGGGAGUCUUUGUCCCUCUGAAUAUCAAAGGCAGGGACUUUGGGGACCUCCUGGUGUACACAGGAGCACUGUUCGUGCUCAUGUCCCUGGGGGGCUGGGUGCUGUGGUACAGCGGAAACAUUGACGGCCUCGUCUCCAGCAAAGAGCUUGGCCACAUCGGCACCACCGUGGACCGGCUGGCCCGCACCCUCAGCCGCAAGAUGCAUAUCCAUCGCCACAGGGGGCCUUAGGGCUGUGGCAACUGGCCAUAAAAGCAGGCUUUCCAUCUACACAUUGGUGGAUGGAUGCCAGACAUGUAUUGGAUCAAUCACCCCCAUUCUCCCCUCACAUUGAACAACUUCUAUAGUUCUUGUGCUAGUGCAGUAUUUUACAUUUUAUUCUGAGACUUGUGUCCAGCAGUAUUAAUGUGUGAUGGGUAAUUAGCACUGUUUAAUGCCAAGCAGUUGAAAUGCACUCACCUAGCAUGUUAUGUCCCCUGUAUAUUACAAACUAUUCAUGUCCAAAGUUUUUAAAACAUUUUUUAUUAAAAAGAAUAAUGCAUUUGCUCAUCUGUUACAUCUGGCGUAGUGGAUGUGAUUUAACAUUUCUUGUGUGGUGUGAUUUCAUUUAGAAAAAUGGCCUUACACUCAAUCAUUUUCAUUGAGUUAUUUUGCUAAUAAAUGUUUCCUUGUGUGAACUUC